AUGGAUUCCGUCGCCUUCUUCUCGCUGCUGCUUCUCUCCGCCGCCGCAGCUCCUCCCGCUCUCGGCUUCACGCGGGCCGACUUCCCUCGGGACUUCGUCUUCGGAGCCGCCACCUCCGCGUACCAGUACGAGGGCGCCGUGGCUGAGGACGGCAGGAACCCAAGCAUCUGGGACACCUUCACUCACGCAGGGAAAAUGGCGGAUAAAAGCGUAGGUGAUGUCGCUGCCGACGGGUACCACAAGUACAAGGAUGAUGUGAAGCUCAUGGUUGACAUGAACCUAGAGGCCUAUAGAUUCUCCAUCUCCUGGUCAAGGCUCAUCCCAGAUGGCAGGGGAGCUGUCAAUCCAAAAGGACUCGAGUAUUACAACAAUCUAAUAGAUGCGCUAGUGCAACAUGGGAUUCAAGUCCAUAUUAUGAUUUACCAGCUUGAGUACCCUCAAAUACUGGAAGAUGAGUAUGGAGGAUGGCUAAGCCCUAGAAUUGUGGAAGAUUUCACAGCAUUCGCAGAUGUUUGCUUCAGGGAGUUUGGAGACAGGGUCUCCUACUGGACUACGAUAGAUGAACCUAAUGUAGGUGCGAUGGGAUCUUACGAUAUCGGAGUGAUCGCACCAGGACAUUGCUCUGAUCCUUUUGGAGCUAUAAAAUGUACCGUGGGUGACUCAACUGUGGAACCAUAUAUAGUAGCUCAUAACAUGCUAUUGGCGCAUGCAUCGGCAACUAGGCUUUACAGAGAAAAAUAUCAAGCCAUGCAAAAGGGGGUUGUCGGCCUAAGUAUUUACUCCCUUUGGCCUUAUCCUAUGACAAACUCUACGGCGGAUUUAGAAGCAACAAAAAGAUGUUUGGACUUCUUUUUGGGCUGGAUACUAGAGCCCUUGAUGUCUGGAGAUUAUCCAGAAAGAAUGAAGAAAAUUGUUGGUUCUCGUCUUCCACCCUUCACAAGAAUCCAGUCUGAAGCUAUUAUUGGUAGUGCAGAUUUCAUCGGGAUAAAUCACUAUUAUUCUGUCUAUGUGAAUGAUCUCCCUAUAAAGAAAGGCGCUCGCGACUAUACAGCAGACUUGUCAAUCAGCUACAAAGCUUCUAAAACAGACCCGCCAGCCGGUAAGGCUCCACCAACGUCUUUUCCAAGUGACCCUGAAGGAUUGCAACGUGUGCUACUGUACUUGAAAGAAGCCUACGGGAACAUUCCCAUUUAUAUCCAAGAGAAUGGUCAAUCCUCUAGUAAUGACACUCUCGUCGACACCGAGAGGACCGGGUACUUGAAGGGCUAUAUAGGGAGCACAUUGGCUGCAUUAAGGAAUGGAGUCAACGUGAAAGGCUACUUUGUCUGGGCUUUCCUGGACGUCUUCGAGUACCUGUCAGGGUAUCAGGCACGGUACGGCCUGUACCGUGUCGAUUUUGACGACGAGGCGCGGCCACGGCAAGCCAGGCUCUCUGCUCGCUGGUACUCUGCCUUCCUGAAGAACAAUAACGAUGACAUCCAUGUUCAGAGUGAGCUCAACAGUACAGGAUGGCAUGCUGAACAAUGA
rnacentral:rRNA from 1 species